UAAUAAGCGGAGGAAAAGAAACUAACAAGGAUUCCCCCAGUAACGGCGAGUGAAGCGGGAUGAGCUCAAAUUUGAAAUCUCCGAUGCUUGCAUCGGCGAGUUGUAGUUGCGAGAAGCACUUUCUAGGUGGAUCGGGCACGCCUAAGUUGCUUGGAACAGCACGUCGCAGAGGGUGACAACCCCGUCUGUGGCGUGCCCGGCCGCUGACGAUGUGCUUUCGAAGAGUCGGGUUGUUUGGGAAUGCAGCCCAAAAUGGGUGGUAAACUCCAUCUAAAGCUAAAUAUUGGCGUGAGACCGAUAGCGA
rnacentral:rRNA from 1 species